CUGUUCAUGGCUACAGUCAAUUGUUUACCACUUGAUUUCAUUUUAUUUACAACAAACCCAUGAGAUUUGGGCUGGGGUCAUUAUUAGAACUUAGAAGUGUAAUUUUGUCAGCAGGGUUUAGGGUUUAGGAUAUUUUUUGGUGUGGAAGCUGCUCGAGCGAUCCCUCGUUCUCUUCCGUAGCUUCUCCCUUUUUCUUCCUCUUUGUUCUUCUGCUUGCCUCGAUCUUUCGUAUUUCUCUGCUUAUCUCUCUGCCUCAAUCCUUUGUCGCCUGAAGAGUUUCUUUUUCUCAUUCAUUCCGCUGUUUGAGGAAAUAUUGGUCUGUUGGCUCUUUCUUCCAAAUGUUUUCGUCUAUUUUGAGAUCAUUUGUCUGUGGUUGUUCCAUUUGUUGUUUGAAUUUACACUUACAGUGGUUGGGUUCUUUGUUAGGUAUCAGUUUUUUUCAUUGGGCAGGGUUUAUUGAGUGGCGUCGGUGUUUUGUUUGGAUUCAGUGUUAUUCGGUUGCUCUGAAGCGACUUAAAAUUGGUGUUGUUCUUCAGGGUUUGGAGCUUUUGUUCAUGGAUAUAAAAUGAAGUUUUCAUUGUUUUAGAUGAUUUGGAUAAUCUUUCCUUUUAAAACUGAUGGAAUGGGAUCGAUCAUAUAUGGGAAAUGGGAAGACACAUAAUUAAUCAGUGAGUGACGGAGUAGAAUUGGAUCACAUUUGCAAAUUUGAUUGAUUAAUUAAUUGUAUGAUGGUGGAUGAAAGAUGCAUCCAGUUGGAUAAUCAAGGUUCGCAUCACACAUGCCUGCCCAUAUACCAUCAUCAUGAUUCGUCAUAAUUUGCAGUGCUGCUUCGGCUGCAUAUGAAAUGUAUCUCCUUCUACCACUGUGCUUGGUUUGCUGCAUCUUUCAAUUAAUGUAUUGGCGUCUUUAUCGCUGUGUUUCUGCAAUUAAAACUUUUUUGUACAUAUUUAGUUUAAAUUUUUAUACAUAUUAUCUCUUGGUCGUUUAGUUCAGUGUUUUUACCAAAUGGGGUUGGUAUUUGGGCUGAUAUUUGGGGCUGGUUUGGAAGGGCAAUUUUGUCCUGUGCGUUUGAGACGGAUUGGGGUGGGUUUAGGUUUGUUGUCAUUCAUUGAGGGCUUCAGGGAUGGGAGGCCAUGCCUCAUCUGAGAGAUAGAGAGAGACAGAGCGAGAGAGAGGGGGAGAGGGGGGAGUGGGGACGGAUUGGGGUGGGUUAGGUGGAGUGAUGCUGCCAAAAAAGCAUGGGUUGCAGAGAGAGGGACAUAGGCGUGGGAUGGCAGGUAGGGGAAGGCAGAGAGAGGAGUGAGGCACUGAAGCUACCAAAAAGGGGUUUAGGGUUGAUUUUUUCUCCUCAAACGAAGGAUGUUGUCAUUGAUUGAGGGAUGGGCGUUUAAUUUUGUGCAAGGAAUUCAGACUACAUCGACUGCAUCUUCAACUUUCUCUCUCACUUCCUCUCUCCUUUACUGAAACCAUAAUCUUCCUCUCCUCGGCGCUUUCCCAUGUCUCUUGCCGUGGAGCCCACAAACCAAGCAUGUAGUGACGGUCACAAGCCUCAAACACGCCGAAUGUGUACUGGAGGUACAUUGACGGCUGGCAACCGCGUCCUCAGCGAUGAAUAUAGUCGUUGGAAAGCGUCCUCGCUCCGAUUGCUGUAUGUUGGAUUCAUUGAAUUCCUUUUUUUCGGUUUCCUCUCUCAUUUUUGCGUCUGUUUGGGGUGGGAUCUGGGUUUUCCCUGCAUUGCUUCAAUUUUGCAUUUUUUUCUUCUUCUGGAUUUCAAUUAAGAAAUGAAUAAAUUUGGGGGCUUCCGAUUU